rnacentral:rRNA from 1 species
AAAGACCUCAAAUCAGGUGGGACUACCUGCUGAACUUAAGCAUAUCAAUAAGCAGAGGAAAAGAA